GACGAACGCUGGCGGCGUGCCUAAUACAUGCAAGUAGAACGCUGAAGGAGGAGCUUGCUUCUCCGGAUGAGUUGCGAACGGGUGAGUAACGCGUAGGUAACCUGCCUGGUAGCGGGGGAUAACUAUUGGAAACGAUAGCUAAUACCGCAUAAGAGUAGAUGUCGCAUGACAUUUGCUUAAAAGGUGCAACAGCACCACUACCAGAUGGACCUGCGUUGUAUUAGCUAGUUGGUGAGGUAACGGCUCACCAAGGCAACGAUACAUAGCCGACCUGAGAGGGGGCUCGGCCACACUGGGACUGAGACACGGCCCAGACUCCUACGGGAGGCAGCAGUAGGGAAUCUUCGGCAAUGGACGGAAGUCUGACCGAGCAACGCCGCGUGAGUGAAGAAGGUUUUCGGAUCGUAAAGCUCUGUUGUAAGAGAAGAACGAGUGUGAGAGUGGAAAGUUCACACUGUGACGGUAUCUUACCAGAAAGGGACGGCUAACUACGUG
rnacentral:rRNA from 1 species